UACGAAGGGGGGCUAGCGUUGUUCGGAAUCACUGGGCGUAAAGGGCGCGUAGGCGGCUUUGUAAGUCGGGGGGUGAAAGCCUGUGGCUCAACCACAGAAUUGCCUUCGAUACUGCAUGGCUUGAGACCGGAAGAGGUAAGUGGAACUGCGAGUGUAGAGGUGAAAUUCGUAGAUAUUCGCAAGAACACCAGUGGCGAAGGCGGCUGACUGGUCCGGUUCUGAACGCGUGAGGCGCGAAAGCGUCGGGGAGCAAACAGG
rnacentral:rRNA from 1 species